AGUCAAUCAAUGUUCCUAAUAGUUUCCAUAUUUGGCUAGCCAGUCAGGCUGGCUAUGCCUGAAAGUUACAAGCUAACAAAAUAAUUCACUAGCCCAAAAUUUGAA